rnacentral:rRNA from 1 species
UACGGAGGGUGCGAGCGUUGUCCGGAAUCACUGGGCGUAAAGGGCGCGUAGGUGGCCUGGUAAGUAGGGGGUGAAAUCUCGAGGCUCAACUUCGAGGCUGCCUCCUAAACUGUCAGGCUUGAGCAGAGUAGAGGCAGGUGGAAUUCCCGGUGUAGCGGUGGAAUGCGUAGAGAUCGGGAAGAACAUCGGUGGCGAAGGCGGCCUGCUGGGCUCUUGCUGACACUGAGGCGCGACAGCGCGGGGAGCAAACAGG